UACGUAGGGUGCAAGCGUUGUCCGGAAUCAUUGGGCGUAAAGAGCGUGUAGGCGGCUCGGUAAGUCCGCUGUAAAAGUCAAAGGCUCAACCUUUGAAUGUCAGUGGAUACUGCCGGGCUAGAGUCCGGAAGAGGCGAGUGGAACUCCUGGUGUAGCGGUGGAAUGCGCAGAUAUCAGGAAGAACACCAACGGCGAAGGCAGCUCGCUGGGACGGUACUGACGCUGAGACGCGAAAGCGUGGGGAGCGAACAGG
rnacentral:rRNA from 1 species